UCUGAAUCAUCAACCAUCGGCGCUGUCGUCGAGGGUUGACUGGGGUUUUGCUGCCGCUCGCGGUGGCUCCCUUAAAUGAAUCGGUCGGGCUAUAGUGUGCCGGUCCACGGGCGUUGUAUCAUCCUCGUCCCAGGUUGGCGCGCUACUCGAAGGCCCUUCCUCGACCUGCCUCUGGAGUGGCGGUCAAAGGCGCUUUGCCACUUGUGAUCUGACCUCAAAUCAGGUAGGACUACCCGCUGAACUUAAGCAUAUCAAUAAGCGGAGGAAAAGAAACUAACAAGGAUUCCCCUAGUAACUGCGAGUGAAGCGGGAAGAGCUCAAAUUUGAAAUCUGGCGGUUUUGCCGUCCGAGUUGUAUUCUGGAGAAGCGUUUUCCGUGCUGGACCGUGUACAAGUCCCUUGGAACAGGGCGUCAUAGAGGGUGAGAAUCCCGUCUUUGACACGGACUACCAGUGCUCUGUGAUGCGCUCUCGAAGAGUCGAGUUGUUUGGGAAUGCAGCUCAAAAUGGGUGGUAAAUUCCAUCUAAAGCUAAAUAUUGGCGAGAGACCGAUAGCGAACAAGUACCGUGAGGGAAAGAUGAAAAGCACUUUGGAAAGAGAGUGAAACAGUACGUGAAAUUGUUGAAAGGGAAACGCUUGAAGUCAGUCGCGUCUUCUGGAACUCAGCCGUGCUUCUGCUAGGCGCACUUUCCAGUUUGACGGGUCAGCAUCGGUUUCGGUGGGCAGACAAAGGCGUAGGGAAGGUGGCCGCUCCGGUGGUGUUAUAGCCCUGCGUUGUAUGUGCCCGCUGGGACCGAGGAAUCCGGCUCGCGCCUG
rnacentral:rRNA from 1 species